AAUAACCAUCGACCCCCAUUUUGAAUCUCACGUGAGUCUUCUUUCUCUCUUCCUUCACUUGAAUCUCACAAAGAAUCAUUUUCAUCUACCACCAUUUUCUUCAUAUUUUCAGAAAUUGAUACUCACUAUCAACCUACCCAUUAACUUAAAUUUCAUCUUCUUGAACAAGAUUGUUAAAUUUUAUUUCACUUUCCAUUGAAGUUUGGAGAUUUCAACUUAGUUUGGUUUCUAGAUCUGGAUUCAUUAAAUCUCAUUGCUGAUUUCUGAAAUCUUCGAACUUGAAGUAUACCCAUCAGGAAUGUCUAUGAUCGAAAAUGUUACCAGCUUAGACAUCAAUUUGCAAAAGACCAAGGCACUCAAGUGAUCAACAAGACCAGGGUUGUGAAGGAUCUGCACUCACGAAUAAGAGUGGGUAUUUAUUCUGUUGAUUCAAUAUCUAAAAGAAGAUGUAUGAAGAUAUCAGGCAAAAAAUAUUUCAAAAGUGAAGAUGUAUGGCUAGUCUGCAAAUAUGUGUUGUGUACAUGCAAGUUUAACCAAGGUCCAUGAUCAACUGACCAAAUUUUCCGAAGCAUCGUUGAAGAUGCAUGAAGAUAUCAGGCAAAAAAAGUGAAGUGGCUCGAACUGCAUAUUACAGAACUAUCAGAGUUGAAUAAUGUUAAUUCUCAACUAUAGGCUUUGGACUGCUGUAUGCUUUGGAGAUUUUAAACGUAUAUGAAAAACACCCUAAAAAAACUAAGAACAUAUAUGGUCCUUGACUCCUUGUACUUGUUCGAAAAAAGAAAUUUGUAAGAUGGAGUAUUUGUAAAUGAUGGUCAGUUCAUGUUAAAAAGGCUUAACAUUUUUUCAUA